rnacentral:rRNA from 1 species
CAGCUAACUACUGGCACCUUGACGGUACCUCGCCAGAAAGCCACGGCUAACUACGUGCCAGCAGCCGCGGUUAA